UACGUAGGCAGCAAGCGUUGUUCGGAAUUACUGGGCGUAAAGAGUGUGUAGGCGGUGCUCUAAGUCUGUUGUGAAAUCUCCCGGCUUAACCGGGAGGGUGCGGCGGAAACUGGAGUGCUUGAGGGUGGGAGAGGUAAGCGGAAUUCCUGGUGUAGCGGUGGAAUGCGUAGAGAUCCGGAAGAACACCAGUGGCGAAGGCGGCCCGCUGGGUAGUGGCUGACGCUGAAGCGCGACAGCGUGGGGAGCAAACAGG
rnacentral:rRNA from 1 species